CCACCGCCACGCCCGAUCCAAGCCGUGUCUGCGACCUGUAUACCACAGCUCCGCGCAACGCCGGGUCCUUAACCCACUGAGCCAGGCCAGGGGUGGAACCCCUGUCCUCAUGGAUACUAGUCGGAGUCGUUACUGCUGAACCACGGCAGGAACUCUUUCGAGACAAGAAAAAGUUAAACACAGAUGAUGAUGUUGUUGUUGUUGUUGUUUUCCCCCCUCUGCCCCUUUGGGCCUCCUGCCUCCCCUCUAGUGUGCACUGUGCAUCUACCUGAAGCAUGAACCUGUCUUCCGCACCGCACCGCACCCCCACCCCCACGCCCCGAGGCGGGAAUGAAUACUUGCUGGAUCCUCAAGAUCCACCGUUUUCUCCUUCUGGCGGCGGCCAUGUCACUCCUUAGAAGCCACCGUGUUGGCCGAGCCUCGGACUUGGUGACGUGCGACGAUGGAUCCGAUAUCGGCUUCUCCAAGACCAGUGAUUGCCACAGGGCGUUCGCGUCGUGGCGCAGCGGAAACGGAUCCGACUGGUACCCAUGGGGAUGCGGGUUCGAACGCCGGCCUCGCUCAGCGGGUCGGGGAUCCGGCGUUUCCGUGAGCUGUGGUGUAGGUAGCAGACGCGGCUCGGCUCCCACGCGGCUGUGGCUUAGGCCGACAGCUGUCGCUCCCCUUCGACCCCUAGCCUGGGACCUUCCAUAUGCCACUGGCGCCGCCCUAAAAAUAGAAAAAAGAAAAAGAAAAUUGCAGCAGACUCAUAGACUUUGCCAACAGACUUACCCCUUUGGUUACCAAAGGGGAAAGGUGGGAGUUUGGGGGAGGGGUGAGAUCAAUGGGGGGGUUGGGGAUUAACCCACACACACACGCGCUCCUAUGUUUAGAAGCGAGACCCGACAGGCACCUUCCCUGUGUGUGUCGCAUAGGGAACUCGACUCCACAUGCUGUAAUAACCUGUAUGGGAAAAGAAUCUGAAAAAGGAAUGGAUAGUGCAUAACUUGAUGGCUUUGCUGUACCCCUGAGCCAACAGGACAUUGUACAUCAACUGUACUUCGAUACAAAAUACAAAAUUAAAGAAAAUCAGCGACGGCAAUGGUGUAAUUCUAGAGGGGAGAGAGAAAGCAACACGAGGCAACCAUUUCCUGACUUGUGAGACGUUUCCAGACUAGUGGGACAGGCGGUCGGGAGGCUUUGGGCUAUGGUGAACAGGGCAUCGGCUGGUAACGGCACAUUGGCCUUGAUGAGCAACGUAAUCCUUGCCCGACCUGCGACUGAGCAUUCCUAGCCAAGUGGGACCGUGUGGUCAAGCAACGCACCCCUCCCACCCCCGGCCCCGCCAAGCCGCGGUGGACCUUAAGACCGAGAGGGAGGGGCUCGUAAACUCAAGAACGUCGCCCGCCAUCUCUGUAAGAAUCAAGUCCAGGAGUUCCCGUCGUGGCGCAGUGGCUAACCAAUCGGACGAGGAACCAUGAGGUC
rnacentral:lncRNA from 1 species